UGAGCUGACAAUUACUGAAACCAAACACAGCUGUAGAACCGGAGCAUUUGUAAACACGGUGUGGUGUAGUGUCACAGCGAGUGUUGAGGGAAUACUUACAUUUCGAGACACGCAUAACAUGCCGACCUCCCCGGUGAAGACACGGAUACCGCUGUAAAGUUUUGGCCAUCUUGUAACCGAAGUAAAGAGACAGCUCUUUGGAAUUGAUUCGCCAACCCUGAAGGAACUGACAGGAUGGAGGAAACAUUUUAACAGCUACACCUUACAAGGACGCAGAAAUUUUGUUCUUGCCACAUAUGGCGUUCUUGCACUCACAGCUGCUGCCUUCAUGCUGAGACGCAGCAGGAAGAAGGAGCAUGAAACAGCAUCUGCCUCCUCAUGAACUGCAAAUGGAAAGUUUUGAGGGUUAAGAAUACAGUAAAUUAUUUAUGAUCGCUACAUGUGUGGACCAUGUUUAAUGAAGCUUAUGUUUCUACAUAUGCACCAGAUGUGCAUUUCUUUAUCAUGCACACUUUUUUAAUUUAAAAAUGGAUUGGUUGCGCUUUAGUUUUGUGGCCCCAUUUUGACAUCCUGUUGACUAUUUAUAUAUAUAAAUUUGGUAUCACUUUAUUUUGAUGGUCACUUUAACACAUUUUGUUGAAUUUAAGUUACAUUGCAUCUACAUUCCAACUAAUUCUCAUUAGCAUAUAAGUAAGCUGUUAGGUUGGGGUUAGUGUAAGUUGACAUGUACUUGCAAAGUUUCUUAUAGUCAGUAUCAGCAGAUAUUAAGCAGGCAGUCUACUAAUACUCAAAUGAUAAGUAAUUGGCGUGUAGUUGCAAUGCAAAUUUUAGUCAAAAAAUGUGCGAUAGGGACAUUUAUACAAUUUAAUUAGUAUGAAAACUAAUGAAUUUUUUAAAGGGGUGUGUCCUCAAACUCCACCCCUUAUCCUACACCUCAUUGAAGGAUAAGCAAAUCAUACUAAAAUGUACCAAUGAGAUUGUACAAAUUCACUGUAUUGUAACUUACCUGUAAAUGUGUUUUACAGUGGCGUUGCUCUACCGCAAUUACAUUUUACAGUAAAAUAGCCUAACUGCAACUUCUUUUUAUGGUAAAAUGCCAUUUUAAUGAUUUUUUUUGCAAUAAAAUUAGAAAUUUAAAUUUUUUUUUUAGAGUAUUUUACUGUUAUUUUUUAUUUUUUUUACUCUAGCAGUACAAACCAAGUGGCCAGUUUUGUCUUAAACUACAGUAGCAGUACUUGAUUAUUUUGAUUACAGUAGAAUACCCCAAAUUCCUAAUAUGCAGUAAGUUACUGUAAAAGUUUAAAAUGACCCACAAUGCAGUGCAUAUUACAGUGCUGAACUGUACUGAACUGAACUGGCUGUUUUUGCAGUAAAUAUCUGUAAAAUUGCGACAAAGUCUGGCCAAUAAAAGAUUCUGUUGGUAUGAAAACCUUGGAUAAAAAUA